ACUGCGCAGGAGGAAGGAGUGUGCGCCGGUGCGUGCGCACAGCAGCAAGUGUAGUGACAUCGACCGGGGAGGGGAACGAUUAGCGGAGGACCCGUUGACGUUGAAUGUGCAGAGGAGCUAAUAAAGCCAUUAAAGCGGCAAAUCGGUACUUCCAGCCUUUAUUGUUGCCGCCACCCGGCUCAGCUGUGCCACGAGAGAAGGGAGUUAACCCCUGCGUCUCCCGACCAGGUGACGCUACAGGGUGUCGUCAGCUGGGAUAGGUUCCAGCGCCCCGUGACCCUAGCCAGGAAAAGCGGUGAUGAAAAUGGAUGGAUAGAUGGACCUUGGAUCCCUCAGGCGGCACUGCAUCAAAAACCGACAUCAUUGUGUAAAGGAUGUCACCAUAUGGGAUCAGGAACACUUCAAAAAAACAAUGUCACGUCCCAACUGGCGGCACGGUGGAAGACUGGUUAGAAGAAGAAGAAGAAGAAGAAGAAGAAUCAUCUUUUAUUGUCAUGAACAUGCAUGCAUGCACACGAAAUUUGUUCUCUGCAUUUAACCCAUCACAGUGAACACAUACACAUGUUAGUGGAACACACUGGAGCAGGGGGCAGCUGAAGCGCCCGGGGAGCAUU